rnacentral:rRNA from 1 species
GCUUAGGUUUCUCGUCUUAGGAUCAUCUGGGGUCAUUCGUACUCGUCCGCGAGAGGUGAAAUUCUUGGACCGGACGAAGACGAUCAGCAGCGAAAGCAUCUGUCAGGGAUGUUUUCUGCGACAAAGGACGAAGGUCAGGGUAUCGAAGACGAUUAGAUACCGUCGUAGUCCUGACUGUAAACUAUGCCGACUUGGGUCUUGCAGAGUAAAUACUUUGUGAGACCCACACAGAAAUGAAAGUGUAUGGGUUCUGGGGGUAGUAUGGACACAAGUCUGAAACUUGAAGGAAUUGACGGAAGAGCACCAUAAGACGUGGAGCUUGCGGCUUAAUUUGACUCAACGCGGGAAAACUUACCAGGUCAAGACAUGGGCGUGAUUGACAGGCUAAUGACCUUUCUCGAUUCCUUGGAUGGUGGUGCAUGGUCGCACUUAGUUGGUGCAGUGAUUUGUCAGGUUUAUUCCGGUAACGAACGAGACCUCGGCCUUGUAAAUAGUUUUACUGCUUACGGGGACAAUGUCGGCUACGUCAAGGAAGUUCGAGGCAAUUGCAGAUCUGGAAUGCCCUUAGAUGUCCUGGGUCGCACGCGUGCUACAAUGACGCCACGAGCGAGUUCAUGUGUUGAAAGACAUGUGAAAUCAGC